CUCAGAUGAGCUGAGAAGCCGGGCUGCUUGUUCACCUGAAGAGAGCUUCCAGUCUGCAUGAAAGAUGAUGCCUCAGCCACUCCCAGAGGGCCCCUUAUUUAUUGUUCACUGUAACUUCUCUCUCCUACCAGCAACCAGAGACUGGCUCGAUAGACUUCUGUGAUGACAGACAAGCAGCAGUUUUCCCCAGAACACACUCAGGCUCACUGUCAAAGAGAAGGGCAGAAAAGUACUCCAUUCCCUCACGCAUCUUUCAGCGCUGCCUUUGUACUUUGAAAGAUCAAUGGCUUCCAAGACUUAUUUCAAGCCCUGUAAAUUCUAAGACUUAAAACAAGUGGAGCUAUACAGUUGUGGUCUGAAUAAAUCAACAUAUGGACGC
ensembl:lncRNA